GGUGUGUGUCACCUUUUUUGACAUCUAACACUUCGUUGGGAACAUGCUAGAAGAAAGAAAAAGAAUUUAUUUAGCUCAACCAAUCUCUUGAUGAAGCAGAUGUUUUGUGACCUACAUAGUGUGCUUUUGUCAAUUCUCUGACCUGAAGUCUUUUUUUUUUUUUUUUUCUUGAACUUUUCCUUGUCGCUUAUCUCCGUUGGAAUUGACAACGAAGAUGUAGGAAGUGUUAGCGGUGAUGCCCCUAAGAUGGUCCUUUGACUGCAUCACUUCAUCUUCUCCGGCGAUCACGAAGGUUUUUGACUCGCACCAGAUAGGGAUGUGAAAGGUAAGACCAUUUUCGGCUAUCUUAACCUCUUUCGGAACUUCUCCUCCAUUUCUUUUGACUCUCAUUCUCGCCCAUUUUAGAUGAUUCUUCAAAGAUGUCUCCUCCUCAAUUUCCAGCCAACCCCCGCAUUGAUUUCUGAUGGCUUUAAAUACUUUUUCUGUCCAAAACUGAAGAGGAAGGCCUAUUGCUCUUACCCAUGUUGAAUUCUCUUGAUGUGUACAACAUCCGACUGUCAGUAUCCACCCGUCGAGAUGGAUCUUCAGGUGCUUCCACAUCCACUGUCCAUGAAGAAUAUGCUCUGCCAUGUGUUUGUUGGGAAACUCGAACAGGAAAGAGUGCCCCCACAUCUUGUAUACAUUGAUACCAAAAGCAUUUUUCCAAGUACUCACUGCUCACUUCGUGAUAUCUGUGAGAUUUGGUUUCUCCUUCUCAUCCCCGCUGAAGUUCCUAGCUAUACAUCUUCCGAGCAAAUCAUUUUCUGGACUAACAUCACCACCAGAGACGAAGAUAGAGUUGAUUUUGUUUCUAACUAGGGCUUCCGAUGCCUCCUUUGAUUGCCACUUACUAGUCCUGACUGAGUCUACAUAAGGGAUCUUUGGAUCUGCCUUCUUGUAACUGUUUGUAAUAAAGGAUCCUUUAUGUUCUUUGAUGAAAUUAUCAAUCUUAAAUGCAAUGUCUCCCCACCCCGUAUUUAAUGAUACUUCUGGAAUAAUAAUGACAGAUCUAUUUUCUCCUUGUACGGUCACAAUGCUUAUAAAUCUCCCAAACUUGUUAUGUU